rnacentral:lncRNA from 12 species
CAGCCAUGAGGUGCCAGCGCUGGCACCAAGUUCCUGGGAUGUGCUCUCCCAGCCUGGAGUUAAGGAGUUGUGCUGCUGCAAGAUCCCAGCUCUGUAUCUCAAGGCUUCAGGAAAAGUCUGCUAAGGUGAAAAGAAUCACAGGCACGUGUCUCUUCCUAAAGCCAGCUGUGGGGUAGGAGGACCUCAGCCUGCUCUAUGCUUUCUCCACAGAGGGAAGAGAAAUCAGGACAUGAAUCUGCUCUGAAGGCAAGGAUCUCUAGAGCUCUCCCUGGAAGUCAGCUUCAGAGGAAGAAACAGCUGAAAGGAUUUGAGGGAAAAGAGGCAUGUGCUUGCAUGGUGGGGAUUUCUGAGACUGUCCCAAAGAGCCAUCUCUACUCUGAGACACCAUGGCACAAGUUCCUGUGGGGGCUGUGGCCUGGACUGCAGUGA